rnacentral:rRNA from 1 species
GACGAACGCUGGCGGCGUGCUUAACACAUGCAAGUCGAGCGGAGAGGCGAACGGGUGAGUAACGCGUGAGUAACUGCACCCCUAUCUGGGAUAACAGUUGGAAACGGCUGCUAAUAACGGAUAGUGGGGGAUGACUCGCGUCCUAUCAGCUGGUUGGUGGGGGAGUGGCCUACCAAGGCGACGACGGGUAGCCGGCCGGAGAGGGCGACCGGACACAUAGGGCGUAUAUACGGCCCAAACUCCUACGGGAGGCAGCAGUGGGGAAUAUUGCACAAUGGGGGAAACCCUGAUGCAGCAACGCGCGUGCGGGAUGACGGCCUUCGGGUUGUAAACCGCUUUCAUCCAUGACGCGUUGGUGGCAGAAGAAGCACCGGCUAACUACGUGCCAGCAGCCGCGGUAAUAC